CACAAAAAAGCUUCUUUGAAUUGACCAGACAAUCAGGGCUUCUAAUUUCUGUUAUGGUUGUUUGCUGUCUUCGAUCUGGUUAAGGACUAAUCGCAACAUGAUACAUCCUGUUUGAAGUGGAGGAGAUUGGAAAAGGAUGCCCUAUUAAAGGGAGGGUGAUAGACUUGAAGAUUGAUAUCGUGUCUCAAUUUUGGAGAUGACCCCACAAAAAAUGAGGCAUGCAUGCAGAAAGAAGAUGUAAGUCAACAAGAAGAAGGAUAAAAGCAUGUGUAAUCCGAUUCCUGAUUUUAUACAAGAACGUAUUUUCGACUUCGUAACUGAGAAACUUGUAGUUGCAUGGAAGAAGUAUGCAAGCAACCCGGUGGACUAUGUGGUGAACAACAAGAAGAAACUUAAGGAGCUAGAGAAAGACAUAAAUGAUCUCGUAGAGGAUAGAAACAGGGUAUGUGGAAAAGCCGAGGAGGAUGAAGUGCGAUUCGGCAGAGAAGUAUAUCAUGUUAAGGCAUGGUUGCGUCAGGUACAAGACAUAAUUGAUGAAUAUCGUGAGUUGGAAGAAGGUAGGCAAGAACACUUUGUGGCGUCCUUCCUAAAUCCAAUUCAAAGGUAUGUCUGGAGCAAAACAGCACAAGAGAUUAAGGGGACGGUUGGAGAGCUACAAAAUGAAAAGUGUGAUAUUAUUAUAUCUUCUUGGCAAGAUCUAUCAUCCAUCGGUGUUGCGACUUCUGAAUUUGAUUAUAUACCUUUAAGAUCAAGAGAAACAACCAAGAAAAAGAUCAAGGAAUCACUAGAAGACCCUAAUGCAAGAUUGAUCGGUGUUUUUGGGGCAACUGGUGUGGGAAAGACCACUUUGGUAAAAAGUGCUACUGCUCUGUUGGAAAAGACGAACAACAAGUUCGAUGUGGUGAUAACGGUUAAAGUGACAAAAUGUCCUGAUAUAAAAAGGAUACAAGGCCAAAUCGCUGACAUGCUGGGAGUUAAGUUUGAAGGGGAAAGUGAGCAUGCAAGAGCAAUCACCAUACAAGAGAAGCUUAAGAAUGAGAAGGACAACAUCCUUAUAAUCCUAGAUGAUCUAUGUGCAAAAAUAGAUCUAAAUUCAUUGGGGAUUCCAUCACCAACCGAUGAUCUUGGUCCUCUUCUCUUGACAAAAGGUGAAUCUUCUGCUGACAAACAAACUGAUGGAGCAGACAAAGAGAGAGAAACUUCCACACAAGAUAACAGGCAAAGAGCUCACACAGAAACUGACAAGCAAAAAGCUCACACAAAAACUAUCUCCAAUGGCUAUCGCAAGUUGAAAACAGAAGAGGGUAGCAGGGGGUAUAAGAUUUUGUUGAUUUCUGAUCUGAGACAAGUAUUGACCGAAAUGGAUGUGAAGCUAGAGCUUAUUAUCCAUGUGAAACUCUUAAAUCCUAAGGACGGAGAGACACUGUUCAAGGAGAUGGCUGGAAUAGGAGCCAACAAUUCUGAAAUUGAAACAUUAGCAGCAGAAAUAGCCAACAAGUGUCAAGGUUUGCCGAUGUCAAUAAUUACAACUGCAAGGGCAUUGAAAAAUCAGAGCCACUUAGUUUGGAAGGAUACUCAUCGAGCGCUUGAAAAGCUUGAAGAGGAAAACCAAUUAGCAGCACCUGAGUAUUCUACAAAGUUGAGUUAUAGACUUCUAGAAAAUGAGGAGCUCAAGCUUACCUUCUUGCUUUGUGCCCGUAUGGAUCAUGACGCAUUGGUUGCGCAUUUGGUGAGAUAUUGCAUUGGUUUGGGUUUUCUUCAAGGCGUUUACUCAGUUUGGGAAGCCAGAGACAGAGUACAAAUGUUGCUCGUCAAGUUAAAAGAGUCAGGUUUGUUGUCUAACAGUUAUUCAAGUGAUCGUUUCACCAUGCAAAAUCUUGUUCGUAAUGCAGCUUUGUCAAUAUCAUCUGAGGAGAUGCAUGUGUUCAUGAUGACCGAAGAAAAACUAGAUGAAUGGCCUGAUGAGGAUCUACUUAAAGAGUACACUGUUAUUUCCUUACAACGUUGUAAUUUCAUUGAGAGAUUUCCUGUGAACAUGUGUUGUCCUAGGCUUAGAGUCUUUCAUAUUGAAAAUAAUGAUCCAUCUUUAAAAAUACCAGAUAAUUUCUUUAAAAAAAUGAGAGAACUUAGGGUGUUGAUUUUGGUGGGGUUCAACCUUUUAUCAUUGCCUUCCUCAAUUAAAUACCUAAAAAAACUAAGAAUGCUUUGUAUCGAGAAAUGCAUUUUAGGUGAAGGUGAGCAAUUAAGUGUCUUGGGAGAAUUAAAGAAUUUAAGAAUACUAAGCUUUUCGGGAUCUGAUGUCAAAGGUUUGCCUGAUGAGCUAAAACAUUUAUCUAAGCUUCAAAUCUUUGACAUCAGUAACUGUUACAAGCUUAGAGAGUUUCCACAUGAUGUAAUGAAAAGUUUGACUAGGCUUGAGGAGUUCUAUGUGCGAAACACUCGCAUUCAAUGGAAGGCAAUUAAUGACAGUGUUCUAUCUGUGUUGGGUGAUCUGAAUCAAUUAACAAAUCUAGACCUGCAAAUCCCAAGUGUUGUGUAUCUACCCAAGAAUUUGUUCUUUGACAAGUUGUACAGUUACAAGAUUCUCAUUGGCUCUUUAAAUAGAGAUCUAGAGGCUGAUUUCAAGAUUCCAGAUAAGUAUGACCUGUCAAGAUGUUUGGCAUUAUGCCAAAAGGAUGGCGGCUUUGACAUUCAUUCCCAGGAGGCAAUCAAAAUGUUGUUUGAAAGGGUUGAAAUCUUGUUGCUGCAAAACUUGAACGGUGUCCAAGAUGUUUUUUAUGAGUUGAAUCUGAAAGGAUUUCCUUAUCUUAAACGUUUAUCCAUUGCAAGCAACAAGAGUGUUCGCUCUCUCAUUAGUCAGCAGAGGCAGCAUUCUGAUCAGAAGGUUUUUCCCAAAUUGGAGUCAUUGUAUCUCUAUAAGCUUAGGAAAAUGGAGCAAAUUUUCUCUUGUCAGCCACUCUCAGAAGGUUCCUUUGGUAAUUUGAAAAUGAUCAAGAUCAAACUCUGUGGUUGCUUGAAGAAUGUUUUCUUAAUGUCUAUAGCUAGACUUCUAAUUGCUCUUGAGAGAAUUGAAAUUUCAGAAUGUAACUCUUUGGAGGAGAUUGUUGUUAGAGAAACAAAUAAUCAUAAUGAAACAGAGCCUACUCUUAAGUUUCUCCAACUUCGUUCUUUAAAGCUGCAAUCUUUAUCCAAGUUUAUUGGGUUCUAUCCAAUUUCAUCUGAAGAAGAUACCAGAUCAUUGUUUCAUGGCAAGAUUGAAGUUCCAGAGCUAGAGAGAAUUGAGUUGUCUAUGCUCCAAAUCAACCACAUAUGGAGUGAUCAAAUAUUGGCUUGCCAUACCGUCGACCAAAGAACUUCUCCUCCUUUUCAUCAAAAGUUGACGACAUGCUUUGGCAAGAAGCACCCCACCAUCAAACAAACUUAUUCUUCCUUUCAAAAUUUGAUGCACCUCGACGUGAAUGGUUGCUGGAAUUUAGAAAGCCUAUGGUCUUUCUCUGUUGCUAGACAUUUGGUGAAUCUUCAAAGCCUUUUUGUUACUGAUUGUAAGAUGACCCACAUCUUCCCCCAAGAUCAAGGUGAUGGUGAGGCUAAAACGAAGAAGCAGGAUGCCAUUUUUCCAAACUUGAAGACCGUCAAGCUGAGUAGCAUGCAGAGAUUGUGUAAGAUAUGGAAUUCUGAUGAAGCUCCUGAAACUUCCUUUGGCAAGCUGAACACUCUGAUCAUUGAUAAGUGUGAUGAAUUGGUCAAUGUAAUUCCUCAUAAUAUGGCUCGAAGAUUGUCUAGUUUAAGUUGCUUGAGGGUUACGAACUGCGCGUCAAUCAAAGUUAUAUUUGAAGAAGCUGAUGAUGAUGAUAAAAGACAGGAUGCUAUGCAUAACAUUAAGUUGCAAGAUAUUCAUUUAGAAACACUCUCGAAACUGGAGCAUGUAUUCAAAUGGAAGAAAGAAGUAAAAUGGAGUGAUCUCAAAUUGCAAAAGAUAUGGGUGCAUCAUUGUGGAAGGUUGGAAAACAUAUUUUCAGUUUCUGUAGUCAAGAAUGUUGAAAUAAAGAUUGAAAACCUUGAAAGCUUUGUGGUAUCAGAUUGCUACCAAUUGAGGGAAAUAGUUGGCAAGGGAAAAGAUGCUGUCAUCAACUCUAGUAGUCCUAUUCAAUUUGAGUUUCCUAAACUGACUACUGUCAAGUUUUUUGGAUUAUCAAAAUUCAAGAGUUUCUAUUCAUCAGGAGCUUAUGAAUUAAGUUGUCCAACAUUAAAAGACCUAUCUAUUGAACGUUGUGACUUGUUGGAACUAUUUGAAGAAACCUCAUCACAUGCAGAAAUAAAGAAUGCUCUUUUUCCAGAAAAUUCUAAAACUGGAGAAGUAAAAGUAAAGGAGGUAAUCAAUAACAAGUUAAAGUCCAUGCACAUUGAAUCACGACAUCUAGUGGGGUCAUCAAUGGACUAUGACUACAGAAGGGAUAGCUUAGAAGAGCUUCAGUUGUCUGGACUGACGAAUUCUGAUAUUAUAUAUUGUUUCCUUCAUUGCAAUCCUAACCUCAAGAGAUUAUGCUUGAAUGCUUGUAGCUUUAAAGAAUUGAAGCCUGGUGGAACAAGAAGGCCUGCUAUUGGGGUUGUGCCAAAGUUAAAAAGCUUGACAUUAACAAACAUGUAUUAUCUUAAGAAGAUUUGCUUUGAACAAGAUGCAGUUCUUCAAAAGAUAGAGUCAUUGGUUAUAAACAAUUGUUCAUAUUUGCACACUAUAGCACCUUCGUCUGUGUCUCUCGCUCACUUGACAAUUCUAGAAGUGGUUGACUGUGAGGAAUUAAAAUAUGUGAUGUCACCAUCAACUGCCAAAAGCUUGGGUCAACUCAAAACCAUGAAGGUAAUCAAUUGUAAAAAUCUAGAGGAAAUUGUUUCAGAGAAAACACAAAAAGAAGAGUACUCUUACUCUGAAUCUCUAGAGGAAGAGGAAACACAAGAAGAGAACUCUAAAUCUCUAGAGGAAGAGAAAACACAAGAAGGACAGGAAGAAAAAGAAAAUGUAGGCGCGGAGAUUCCCAUCAUUUUCAAACAAUUGACAACUCUUGAGCUUGUGUCAUUGAAGAGCCUUAAUAGUUUCUGCAGCUCCAAGAAUUGUGCCUUUAAAUUCCCAUCACUGGAGAAUUUUAUUGUGAGUGCAUGCCCCAAAAUGGAAAAUUUCUCUGCAAAAGAAGUGGACUGUGGGCCAAAUUUGCAAAAGAUAUAUUAUGUGCAUGACAAAAAGAAAAAGAGAUGGUGCUGGCACGAAGACAAUAUAGGAUCUACAAUAAGAUACAUAUUUGACAAUAAGAAAUUUUUUGAAGGCAUGAAUGAGUUGGGUAUGAAUCAGUUGGAUUUUUUUUUUGGUGACUUGAAUCAGUUGGAUUUGAAUUCUGAUCAAGAUCUUCUAAAACUAAUCUGGCUAAGUAAAGAAGGUUCCCGAAAAGAUUGGUUUUCCGGUUUAAAAACUCUGACACUAUAUGACUGGGAUGCAUCUAAUACGCAUGCAAUUCCGUCAAAUGUCCUCUGUUGUUUGAAGAGCUUACAAGAACUUCGAGUGAAGUGGGGUAGGACAAUAGAAAGCAUUUUUGAGAUGGAUGACACUAAGAGCUGGGAAUCAUCAUUCCAACUGAAGAAGCUAAGUUUAACGGAUCUACCAAGUCUGAAGAGUGUGUGGCAACAUGACAAAGGAGAAAUCCUUCUAGGCUUUCAAAAUCUGCAGCAGGUCACUAUCGAAGAUUGUCAUAAAUUGACAAGUGUGUUUCCUACUGUCUUGGCCAGAGAUCUUAAAAAGCUCGAGGAACUCCAUGUAAGUCAUUGUGAUGAGUUGCAAGAAAUUGUUGGAAAAGAUCAAGAGGAAGCAGUGGAAGGAUCACAAAAGUUUGUGUUUCCUCGUUUAACCACAUUGAAACUAUCAAAAUUGCCACAACUAAGUGACUUUACGUCUGGAAGAUUGACUCUGGAGUGCCUCGAGUUAAAGCAUCUGCAGCUUUUUCUGAACCAAGAACAAAAAUAUCCGGAGGGCGGUAUUUCCAAGGUGGAGAAGUUGUCGCUCAUUAAUCCAAAUCACACUUUGGUGAAGCAGUUUAUGAAUCAAGGCGUCUUUCAUCACUAUUUAAAUGAACUUCACCUUGCGUAUUUCCCUGAUUACAAUGAUGAUGGAGAGAACUCUACUUCAUCAUUUGAGAUAUUUGCCGAUGACAAGAUGCUUCCUAAUGACAAGAUGUUUCCCAAAUUAGAGAUUAUUGAAAUAUAUUGGAACAAUUGCAAAACCAUGAAUAUUCCCAAAGAAGCGGGUGAGAGGAUGCUUCACUUGAAAGAAUUGAAGUUGAGGUCACUAUCUGAGCUGAACUCCAUUAGUGGGCUAGAGUACUUGUUAAAGCUGCGGCUAUUGGAGGUUUAUGAAUGUCAUAAAUUGAUAACAGUAUUAGAAUUACAUUCAUACUCCAAUCUGAAAGAAUUGCAUAUAUAUUCUUGUUAUGGAUUGGAAUGUUUGUUGACAUCCUCAGCAGUAAAAAUGCUAAUACACCUUGAGGAGUUGAAAGUUGAAUGGUGUAACUCAUUGAAAGAAAUAGUGCAACAAGAAAGUGGGACGGAAGACAUUAUUGAAUUUAAGCACCUACACAGGAUAACUCUUGCUGAUUUGGGAAGCCUGGAAUGCUUUUAUUCAGGGAAUGCCACACUGCAGUUCCCCUCUUUGAUUCGGCUGGACAUACUAGACUGCUCCGACAUGAAAUUUUUUUCUCAAACAGAAAUACAUGUGAAACCACCAUUAUUUCAAGUAUUUUACUCCGAUGAUGAAGCUGAUCGAUUGUUCCUCCAUGAUCUAAACGUAGCUGUUGCAUGCCAGUUUCUACGACAGCAGAUAUAUCUUGAUCUUGGCGAUCACCCAGAGCUAAAAGAUUUAUGGCUUGAUAAAGUGCAUAUCCCAGCUGAGGCCUACUCCUCUGGUGUCAGAUUGGAACGUCUGAGGGUGAAAGGGUGUAAUGAAUUCUUUACAACCGCAAUAUUUCCUUCUCAUUUACUUCCCUUCCUCAGUCGAUUAGAAAAGUUGGAGGUGCAGGGAUGCAAUUCUGUUGAGGCCAUAUAUGAAAUUAAAGAUACAACAGCAAAUAUUGUUAUUCCUUUGAAGAAAUUGACUUUGGAGAAACUUCCAACUCUGAGGCAUGUUUGGAACAAGGAUACUGAAGGAAAGCUCAGUCUUCCCAAACUGGAGGAGGUUAUUGUUGAUGAAUGUGCAAGCAUAAAAUCGGUGUUCCCAGAAUCAGUUGGCAAGGGUAACAUACAAAGUUUAGAAGUGAAGAAUUGUGCAGAGUUAGUUGAAAUUGUCACUGGAGAUGAUGUAGCCAAACAGGUUAGCAUCUUCUCCACGCUAUGUUGUCUGAAGCUGGUGAAUUUGCCAAAUUUGGAGUGUCCAUUACUAUCGCAGUUGCUACCUUCUCUUCAUAAAUUAGAAGAGUUGGUGGUUGAAAAAUGUAGUUCCUUGAAGACUAUAUUUGAUGUGAAAGAUGCGCCAACAAAUGAAGAAGAUACAAAUAUGAUUACUGUUAUUCCUUUGAAGAAAUUGACUUUGGAGAAACUUCCAACUUUGAGCCAUGUUUGGAAAGGAAAGCUCAGUCUUCCAAAAUUGGAGGAGGUUAUUGUUGAUGAAUGUGCAAGCUUAAAAUCCUUGUUCCUAGAAUCAGUUAACAUACAGAGGUUAGAAGUGAAGAAUUGUGAGAAGUUGGUUGAAAUUGUCACAAGAGAUGAAUUAGUCAAAGAAGAAGAUGCAGAUAAACAAGUUAAUAUCUUCUCCAAGCUAUCUUGUCUGAAGCUGUGGAAUUUGCCAAAUCUGAGCUACAUUUAUCAUGGAAUGAAAGACUCUGAAUUUUCAUUAUCAAAUGCAUUACUACCUUGGCAUAUGCUACCUUCCCUUCAUAAAUUGGAAGAGUUGGUGGUUGGAAAUUGUGGUUCCUUUGAGACAAUAUUUGAUGUGAAAGAUGCUCCAACAAAUAAAGAAGAUACAAAUAUGAUUACUGUUAUUCCUUUGGAGAAAUUGAUUUUGGAACAUUUGCCAACUCUAAGCCAUAUUUGGAACAAGGAUUCUAAAGGAAAUAGUCUCAGCUUUCUAUGUCUGGAGAAAGUGGUUGUGAAUGGAUGUAAACGCCUCACAAGCUUGUUCCCAGCAUCAGUGCCCAUGUUUAAUAUAAAAAAUUUAGAUGUCAGAAACUGUGAGGAAUUGGUUGAAAUUGUUACAAAAGAUGAAACAGACAAUGAAGAAACUACAAAUAAGGAGUUUAUUAUGUUCCCUGAGAUAAUGUCAUUGACCCUGCACAAUUUGCCAAAUCUUACAUACAUUUAUGCUGGAAUGCAAAAUCUAAAUUGGCCAGAGUUAAUAGAAUUUGAUGUUUCUCAUUGUAACCUGAUAAAGAAAUUCACAGAUUCCGCUGCAAAGGUUGUUACCCCUCACUUAGAGCGAUUGUCAAUAGACAAGGCAGGUGUGAUGAUGCUUGACAAAGAACUGCUUCAUUUGGACCCACAAAACAUAGCAUAUCUAAGAUUGCAGGGCUUUAAUGACUCAGAUGCUGCAUCUGCCUUUGAUUUCUUUCCGAAGGUGCCACUUCCCAAUAUUAAGAGGCUUGGGGUGGCCGACAGUGCUUGCAAAGAGAUAUUUCCCUCAAAAAAGCCUGAGAUUAUUCAUUCACAGCUGCUUGCUCAAGAAUUGGAACUGAGGAAUCUGCACAAGCUUGAAUCUAUUGGGUUAGACUACACCUGGGUAACCUUCUCUAAUCUCACAUCGCUCAAACUUGAGGGUUGUGCAUCUUUGAAGUGUUUGUUCACUUCUUCAACCUCCAAAUGUCUUGAUCAACUUGAAGAGUUACACAUAUCCAACUGUGAAACACUCGAAAAUUUAAUGGUGGAUUAUCAACCACAUGAUCAUGAUCAUGAUGUCAUCAUAUUUAAAAGUCUUUCUGAACUGUCUCUUAGCCAGUUACCAAAACUUGAGAGCUUCUACAAAGGAAACUCAACUUUGAAUUUUCCAUCUCUAUGGAUGGUCGAGGUUACUGAAUGCAACAGAUUGGAGUAUAUAUUCACAUUCUCAACUGCCAAAAGCUUCGAAAGUUUGAAUCAGAUGAGGAUUUCCAAAUGUGAGUCAUUGGAAACAGUAGUAUUAGCAACACAAGAGGCAGACGAGCCACAUGAGCUCACAUUCCCAGACAUACUCCGGUAUCUGCUUCUAAGCGAAUUGCCAAAACUUGGAAGCUUUUUCACGGGAAAGUCAACUUUGAAAUUCCAAGAGUCCUUGAGCGUUGAGAUCAGUCAAUGCAAGAUCAUGAAAACUUUCUCACACGGUGGCGUGGAAGCACCCAACUUAGAUGAGGUGGAGAUAGAUGGAGUGAGUUGCUCGACAGAUAAUCUAAAUGUUGCAGUCAGUCAAGAAUUUGAGAAACGAACGAAACAGCAUUGAUGAGUUAAUUAGUACAAUCAUAAUUUAAUAUAAAAUUUGUUGCUUGCUAAGAGAAGCUUAUUUUCAAUGCAUUUGCUACCAGCAAAAUUAGUAGUCUAAUCAAGGAACAACGGACAAAUAAAUAAGGAUGGUUGGUUCUAUGGGACACCAAUUGCAGCAAUGAAGAGGAUAUAAGUGGAUCCCAUCAUGGCAACAAAUAUUCAUUUCUGUUUGAGUGUGGUGUGGUGUGGUGUGCAUGAUAUGAAUAAGUUCCCUGUAUCACUAUGCAGGAAGAAGUGUGUGAUUGCCUUUUAAGUGGCAUAGCUAUAAACUAAGUGUGUUUGAUCAAUAAAAUUAUAUCUUGUAUUUUAUACAAGAUGUAAGGUGUGUGUGCUUUAUAAUUUAUUGAGAACACUAGUGUGGUUUUAUGUAUGACAGUGAAUUGUAAUAAUUUUAUACGAUUCAAUGAUUGUGAUUUGUGAUGAAGUCGUAAGAAGAGAAUGCUCUGAAAAUAAAGUUGAGAAUGGUAUGUAGAUAUAUUUUUACAUAAGAAAUGUUA